rnacentral:rRNA from 1 species
AGUUUGAUCAUGGCUCAGAUUGAACGCUGGCGGCAUGCCUUACACAUGCAAGUCGAACGGCAGCGGGCCUUCGGGGUGCCGGCGAGUGGCGAACGGGUGAGUAAUGCAUCGGAACGUGCCAUUGAGUGGGGAUAACGUAGCGAAAGUUACGCUAAUACCGCAUAUUCUGUGAGCAGGAAAGCAGGGGACCGCAAGGCCUUGCGCUUUUUGAGCGGCCGAUGUCAGAUUAGCUAGUUGGUGAGGUAAAGGCUUACCAAGGCGACGAUCUGUAGCGGGUCUGAGAGGAUGAUCCGCCACACUGGAACUGAGACACGGUCCAGACUCCUACGGGAGGCAGCAGUGGGGAAUUUUGGACAAUGGGCGCAAGCCUGAUCCAGCCAUGCCGCGUGAGUGAAGAAGGCCUUCGGGUUGUAAAGCUCUUUCGGCCGGGAAGAAAUCGCAUGGGUUAAUACCCUGUGUGGAUGACGGUACCGGAAUAAGAAGCACCGGCUAACUACGUG